UACGUAGGUGGCAAGCGUUGUCCGGAUUUACUGGGCGUAAAGGGCGCGUAGGCGGCUUUGCGUGUCUUUCGUGAAAUCCCUCGGCUCAACUGAGGACGUGCGGAAGAAACUGCAGGGCUGGAGUCCGGGAGAGGAGGGUGGAAUUCCCAGUGUAGCGGUGAAAUGCGUAGAUAUUGGGAGGAACACCGGUGGCGAAGGCGGCCCUCUGGACCGGUACUGACGCUGAUGCGCGAAAGCGUGGGGAGCAAACGGG
rnacentral:rRNA from 1 species